rnacentral:rRNA from 1 species
AGCCCCUAGCAACAACAAGUAUUAGGGGUGAUGCCUGCCCAGUGAUAAUAUUCAACGGCCGCGGUAUCCUAACCGUGCAAAGGUAGCGUAAUCACUUGUCCUUUAAAUAAGGACUCGUAUGAAAGGCUAAACGAGGCUCUAUCUGUCUCUUACAGCCAAUCAGUGAAAUUGAUCUCCCUGUGCAAAAGCAGGAAUACAAAUAUAAGACGAGAAGACCCUGUGGAACUUCAAAUAAAUCAUCAACCAACACCACACUCACCCUAAUGGUUUAUAAACAAAGUAAAUAACUGAUGCAUACUUUUGGUUGGGGCGACCUCGGAGCAAAACAAAACCUCCGAAAAAAGAACACAACCCUUUACUUAGCCAAACAAAUCAAAGUGUUCACAACAAAAUGAUCCAAUCCAUUUGAUCAACGAACAAAGCUACCCCAGGGAUAACAGCGCAAUCCCGUCACAGAGUCCUUAUCGACGACGGGGUUUACGACCUCGAUGUUGGAUCAGGACAUCCUAAUGGUGCAACAGCUAUUAAGGGUUCGUUUGUUCAACGAUUAAAGUCCU